rnacentral:rRNA from 1 species
GACGAACGCUGGCGGCGUGCUUAACACAUGCAAGUCGAGCGGAGAUAAUAGCAAUAUUAUCUUAGCGGCGGACGGGUGAGUAACGCGUGGGCAACCAGCCUCGGACUGGGGGAUAACACAGGGAAACUUGUGCUAAUACCGCAUAACAUCAUGAGAUGACAUCAUCAUAUGAUCAAAGGAGUAAUCCGGUUUGAGAUGGGCCCGCGUCCGAUUAGCUAGUUGGUGGUGUAACGGACCACCAAGGCGACGAUCGGUAGCCGAACGGAGAGGUGGAUCGGCCACAGUGGGACUGAGACACGGCCCAGACACCUACGGGAGGCAGCGGUGGGGAAUAUUGCACAAUGGGGGAAACCCUGAUGCAGCACCGCCGCGUGAAGGAUAAAGGUUUUCGGAUUGUAAACUUCUUUGAUGAGGGACGAAUAAAUGACGGUACCUCAAAAACAAGCCACGGCUAACUACGUGCCAGCCGCCGCCGUAA